AUUGAACGCUGGCGGCAGGCCUAACACAUGCAAGUCGAACGGUAACAGGAAGAAGCUUGCCUCUUUGCUGACGAGUGGCGGACGGGUGAGUAAUGUCUGGGAAACUGCCUGAUGGAGGGGGAUAACUACUGGAAACGGUAGCUAAUACCGCAUAAUGUCGCAAGACCAAAGAGGGGGACCUUCGGGCCUCUUGCCAUCGGAUGUGCCCAGAUGGGAUUAGCUAGUAGGUGGGGUAACGGCUCACCUAGGCGACGAUCCCUAGCUGGUCUGAGAGGAUGACCAGCCACACUGGAACUGAGACACGGUCCAGACUCCUACGGGAGGCAGCAGUGGGGAAUAUUGCACAAUGGGCGCAAGCCUGAUGCAGCUAUGCCGCGUGUAUGAAGAAGGCCUUCGGGUUGUAAAGUACUUUCAGCGGGGAGGAAGGGAGUAAAGUUAAUACCUUUGCUCAUUGACGUUACCCGCAGAAGAAGCACCGGCUAACUCCGUG
rnacentral:rRNA from 1 species